CUUGCCCCACACACCCGUGCAUGAUAAUAUUGUGUAUCGGCAUUCUCACGGGCUGGUGAUGUGUUGAUUAGAAUAAUGAAUAAGUCACGCCACAGAGCACCAUUCACACAGUUUUCUAUUAAAUUACAUUUUAUUAGUCCCAAAUCGUUGUUAAUGUACAUAAUGACUUCACCCAAGGGAGUAAAAUUGUGUAUAAUGCGUUUUUAAGCUAAACGUUUGUCUCUCUGUGGCUCUAAUAAAACUUGUAUGAUUCAUAUAGAGAGUUUUAA